rnacentral:lncRNA from 1 species
AUGUUUCUAAUGAAUGAAAAUAAAAAAAACGAAACCAAAGAAACUUAUAACAUUAAAGAUGAAUCAAAAGAAGCUACAUUGAUUAAUGAAAUAAAUCAAAUGGAUAAUACUACUAAUGACUCAGAAAAUGCAGUUACAGUUGCAGUUGCAGCUGCAGUUACUAAAUGCGUCGAUACAAAUGCCAAUAUAAAUAAAAACGAAAAAUCUGAUAUAAAUAAAUUUAUUACUCAAGCAGACAGCAGUUUUCUUACUUCCACUACAACUCAUAUGGACCAUACGACUCAUACAACCCAUACGACUCAUACAACCCAUACGACUCAUAUGGACAUUUGCACUGAAAACCAAACCAAAUACAACACGAGAAAUAAAAAAGAAAACAAAAUAACAUGUUUAAAUAAAUUAAUUAAAGAUAAAGAAUUAUUUUUAACUAAUGAUGAAGAUGUAAUAAAUGAAAUAUAUAACAAUGUGAAUAUAAUUUAUUUCAGUAAAUAUAUAAAUGUUGUAGAAUACUAUGAAAAAUUUCGAAUAAAAUUAAAAUGUAUGAACAGUGUCAUAAAAUUUAUUGCAUCCAAAUCUAUAAUUGUUAAUGAUCAUAAUAAUAAUAAUAACGAUUUAUAUGUUGAUGAAUUUAAUUCCUUAGAAGAUUUAUAUGUAAGUACAAGAUUAAAAAUAUUAAAUAAUAAUAUUUUACCUCAAUUUUAUUCUUUCGAAACAAACGAUAUAUGUAAAUAUAUUAAAAACAUUUGUUUAUUAUCGAUAUAUAUUUCAAAAUUAGAAUUUAGUUUAUUUAUUGAAAUAUUUAAUAAUGACGUAGAUGGAUGUAUUAAUACUAUUUUAAAAGUUAUUGGUUUGUCUGUAUAUGACACUAUUAAAGAUAAUAUAUACGAAUUAAACAAUAUAAAAAUUAUAAGAAAAAUUAUUCAAAUGAUUUAUAUAGAUAUAUUAGAAACAUAUACAGAAAGUAUUUAUAAUAUAUUACGUGAUUUUUUAAAAAAAUUAUGUACCAACUUAAAAGAAAGACUUUUAUAUAUAAUAGAGUUAUACAUUUCUUAUUAUACAAAAAAUAUACAAGCUUCAAUUCCUUACGUGUGUUUCAAGCCUAUCAAAAAAAAAUUUAUCAACAUAGUAAAUGAUUUUUUAUAUCAGAAUUAUUUAGAACCAACUGGGACGACUCAUAAUGUUGACGUUGACAUAGGAGUCGGUGGUGAUAUUGAUGAAGGCGUCGAGAUUGAUGAAGGCGUCGAGAUUGAUGAAGACGUCGAGAUUGAUGAAGGCUUAGAGAUUAAUAGUGGUUCCAAGAUUAUUAGUGGUGUGAAUGGAAAUGGUAAAAAAAAAAAAAUAACCACAAAUUUGAAUACUUGUGACAUUAUUAAUGAGACUAAUAUAAAUGUAAAUAUUGACCUAAAACUGAAUAAUAAAGUAAAUGAUCAAUCACAUGAUUAUAGCACACCAAGUGAUAAUACAUCAAGUGAUAAUACAUUAAAUGAUAGUACAUCAAGUGAUAGUAUAUCGAGUGAAAAUAAUUAUAACCAACAUGAAUAUAAUAUGAAUAUAUUAAAUGAAUCUAACGUAUAUAAAUCAUUUAGUUUUUAUAAUAAUAAAUAUAAUAAAAAUACAAGUUAUAGUUUUUCUGGAAUUGAUAUAAAUAUUAUUGGUACUAUUAUUAUAUUAAAAAAUAUUAAUUUUAUAAUAGAAGAAAAUACACUACAAGAAAUUUAUAAAGAAUGCUUAGAAAACACAUUAAAUUCCAUAAUAUACAUUUAUAAACAACAUUUAAAAAUAUAUAAUAAUGAUAUGUUUAAUGGUUGCUUAUUUUUAAUCAAAAACUUAAGUUUUUUACUUUAUCUAUUUUAUAAAAUCACAAAAGAUAAACAGUUUUUUUAUUUAUACUUGGAUAAAAAACUAACAAAACACUUGUUAUUUCAACAAACUGGUUAUAUAAAAAACAAAAAUGAAAAAUUAAAAUCGAAACAUAUUGACACUAGUGGAAAUAACAAUAACUAUAACAAAAUGUUAUCAGAAAAUAAAAAUUCGAUUUUCCAUUUUUUUAAAAAAGUUUAUAAUACACCAUCAAAUAUGGAUAUGCAAAAUAAAACAUUGUUAUUAUUUAAUGAGGCCAUUUACAAUUUUACUAUAACAACUAUCGCAGCAGUUUGUUCCCCUCUUAUCAAAAUAUUGUCCACGGAAUAUAAAGAAAGCUAUUCCGAAAAAGAAGAAGAAAUAAAAAAGGCGAUAAACGAAUUUAUGAAUGUUAAAACAAGUAAUGAAAAAAAAAAUAAAAGCAAAGGUGAAAGCGAAGGUGAAAACGGAGAAGAAAAUGAAGAAGAAAACGGAGAAGAAAAUGGAGAAGAGGACAAAAAAGAAGACGAAAAAGAAGACUUCAUUUGUAUAAAUUACACUUCUUUCUCUCAUUUAAAUGAUAUAAAUUUAGAUAUAAUAAAAAAGUAUGCUCAAAAAAUAAACGAAAAUAGUUACAACAGUAACACUAGUAAUAGUAGCAAUGAAAAUAAAACUAAUAAAAAUACGACAAAUGAUGAUUUGAUAUCAACCCUUCAGACUUUUCAAAAAGAACUAUAUAGUUUAUUUCCUAGAAUUUAUUUCUAUAUAAAAAUAUUUAUUCUUACAAACGCCGAUAAAUCAAAUGGAUAUAUUUUUUUCAACAGUUUGUUUAGUUAUAUUAUUGGCAUCUUGAAGUAUAAAAUAAUUUACAUAUUAAGCGAAGUAUACAUAUUGUUAAAUUACAAAUAUCCCGAACAUGUUGGAAAUAUCUUUAAAGGAAAUUAUAUAAACGAUAUUUUAUUUUUUUUGAAAUAUAAUGAUAAUUAUUCUUGUGACUUUUCAGACGUCCAUAAAUAUUUCGAUUUAAAUAAAAAUUAUAGUUUUCUAAAUAAGUGAUCUAAUUUUUAAAACAAACGAUAUGUCUAUAUAUAUAUAUAUAUAUGUGUUUUUUUUUUUGUUUGGCAUUUCGUUUUUAUUGAUAAGAUGAUGGCAUUUAACACUCGACGCAAAAAAAAACCAAAAAAAAAAAAAGGAGAUAAUAAGGGGGUAAAAAGGGGAGGUAAAUAUAAUAUAAGAAGAAUAUAAGAAGGAGAAAAAAUAUAUGCCAGAUAAAAUGCAUAACAUAUAACGUGAUUAAAAUAGAUAAACCAUAUUAAAAAAAAAAAAAAAAAAAAAAAUUAUUUAAUUUAAUACUUAUGAAAAAUAAGUGGAAAUUGACAAAAUGUGACGGGAUGUAGUAAAUACAAUAACUAAAAUUAUACUUAAAAAUAAAUAGAGUAAAAUAGAGUAAAAUAAAGCA